rnacentral:rRNA from 1 species
UACGAAGGGGGCUAGCGUUGUUCGGAAUCACUGGGCGUAAAGCGCACGCAGGCGGAUCGAUAAGUCGGGGGUGAAAGCCCGGGGCUCAACCUCGGAAUUGCCUUCGAUACUGUCGGUCUCGAGUCCGGGAGAGGUGAGUGGAAUUCCUAGUGUAGAGGUGAAAUUCGUAGAUAUUAGGUGGAACACCAGUGGCGAAGGCGGCCCUCUGGUCCGGUACUGACGCUGAGGCGCGAAAGCGUGGGGAGCAAACAGG